CUAUAUUGCACAUCAAGGUCAUUGGAAAACCUGAAAGACAACUAUUGGUUUCUGCGUCUUAAAGUAUUUCGAAUUCAAGAGUUUAAACCCGUUCAAAGAGGAAGAUUCUCUGAUGGCACAUCAAGCACUGCUGAAGAAAUUUCCUGUGGUCUUGAUAGCUGGCCUAACUAUAUCGAUUGUGACUACUCCACUAAUCUGCAAAAGUUUUGAAUUGAGGAAUGAUCAUGAAAGCCAGUGUAGCAUCUAUAGUACACUACUGAAAUUGAAGGUGAAUCUACCAGGAGGUUGCCCUUACGACAGAGUCAUGGAUUUGUCCAAUAAAAUAAUUCUUAAAGGAAUCAUAUUUCUAAGUAUCAUUAUUUUCCUCGUUGGUACCACUUGGCUUCUCAUAAUAUAUUCAUCAAGAUAUCAUCGAGUGGAGAUUGG